GGGGAAUAUUGGGCAAUGGGCGCAAGCCUGACCCAGCGACGCCGCGUGAGGGAAGAAGGCCUUUGGGUCGUAAACCUCUGUUGUAUGGGAAGAAGGAAGUGACGGUACCAUACGAGGAAGUCCCGGCUAACUACGUGCCAGCAGCCGCGGUAAUACGUAGGGGACGAGCGUUGUCCGGAAUUACUGGGCGUAAAGGGCGCGCAGGCGGAUAUUUAAGUCAGCUGUAAAAGGCAUGAGCUCAACUCAUGUAUGCGGUUGAAACUGGGUAUCUAGAGUGCUGGAGAGGUAGGCGGAAUUCCCGGUGUAGCGGUGAAAUGCGUAGAUAUCGGGAAGAACACCAGUGGCGAAGGCGGCUUACUGGCCAGCAACUGACGCUGAGGCGCGAAAGCCAGGGGAGCGAAC
rnacentral:rRNA from 1 species